UGUCUUUCGUGCUUUGAUGCGGCAGUUGUCCGUCCAUAGAAAUUUCCAGUUGUGCUGCUUUUUCAGUUCGAGGGCUUGAGCAAACAGUCGUUUGUUGUCUUGUGUUAAGUGGUCGUUAAUAAAGACCUUUGCCUCUGCAGACGGAGGGAAGCCGAGAGUAGUAGUGUUUAGUCGUGCUUUCCGGGCCUUGCUUACGAAAUCAGCCUUCUUAGUGCGGGAACAGAAGCGUGCAAUUAUGUGUUUGUCCUUCUUCGCAGGGACGCGGUGAACAAUGUCUAUGUCAGAUGGUGCCACAGGGCAGCCAAUCUUGUCGCCGAUUUUUUGGAGAACAGCGACACAAUUCUCGCCCUGUGUGGACGGCACACCCCUGAUCUCGACAUUUGCCCAUGAGCCACAGCAGCGGCCU
rnacentral:lncRNA from 1 species